GAAAUAUAAGAUAUAAGAAAAAGCUUCUAACUUUUAUUUUAGCGGUGAAACUCCGUUAAUAUUUCU
rnacentral:tRNA from 1 species